rnacentral:rRNA from 1 species
GGUUAAUUUUCCGCAAUGGGCGAAAGCCUGACGGAGCAAGACCGCGUGGGGGAAGAAGGCUCUUGGGUUGUAAACCCCUUUUCUCUGGGAAGAAAGUUGUGAAAGCAACCUGACGGUACCAGAGGAAUCAGCAUCGGCUAACUCCGUGCCAGCAGCCGCGGUAAGACGGAGGAUGCAAGCGUUAUCCGGAAUGAUUGGGCGUAAAGCGUCCGCAGGUGGCAGUUCAAGUCUGCUGUCAAAGACCGGGGCUUAACCUCGGAAAGGCAGUGGAAACUGAACAGCUAGAGUAUGGUAGGGGCAAAGGGAAUUCCUGGUGUAGCGGUGAAAUGCGUAGAGAUCAGGAAGAACAUCGGUGGCGAAGGCGCUUUGCUGGACCAUAACUGACACUCAGGGACGAAAGCUAGGGGAGCGAAUGGGAUUAGAUACCCCAGUAGUCCUAGCCGUAAACGAUGGAUACUAGGUGUUGUCUGUAUCGACCCGGACAGUGCCGUAGCUAACGC